rnacentral:rRNA from 1 species
GACGAAGGGGGCUAGCGUUGUUCGGAAUUACUGGGCGUAAAGCGCGUGUAGGCGGUUGUUCAAGUCAGGUGUGAAAGCCUUGAGCUCAACUCAAGAAAUGCACUUUGAUACUGGAUGACUAGAGGACCGGAGAGGAUAGUGGAAUUCCCAGUGUAGUGGUGAAAUACGUAGAGAUUGGGAAGAACACCAGUGGCGAAGGCGGCUAUCUGGACGGUUUCUGACGCUAAGACGCGAAAGCGUGGGGAGCAAACAGGG